AAGGAAAAAGUGAGCAACAUGCAUCACAGGAAAAUGUAAGCAGAAGAUAGAAGUUAAAAAAAAGAAAUCAAAAGAAAACCUUACAAUCAAAACCACCAAACAAAAACACUGAGUUUUUGAGAGGCUUUGCAAUGGACUACACAUAGUUGAAGAAACAAUCAGUAAUCUGGAAAGUAUGUCAAUGGAAAUUUCCCGGAGAAUAACAUGAAAAGAAAAAUCUACAAACUAUACGGACUGUGUAAGAACUGUGGGUGAAGUGGCGAUAUUGUCAGGUGCCUUACAAAAGCAGAGUCAGGCAUACCGACGUUUUUGCUUUGCUUGAUUAGACCUUUCUGUCUUUGAUUCAUUUUGUCUGAUUUGUUUAGCCUUUUGUUUUUCAAGAAUUUGUGUGAUCUUAUUUCAGACAUAUUUAUUGUGGUGCUGCUGAUCCUCUUGUAGAUGAUAAAGAGCCUGCAUAGGGCUUUGCUCAAUAACAGAGUGAACAAUCAAAGGCCAUGGGAAGCCAGAGUCUGUGAACUCAACCCCAGUCCAUUCUUCCACACAACCAUAGCAAAGAGCUGGGAGAAGACGGAGAGAGAGUCUACCAUACAGACUAGAUGGGUGCGAACAACCUUAAGGUGUCUGAAAAUAGAAAAUUGAACACACGCCGGGGUGCGCAAGCGGCAGCCGGAGGACAGCUUGUGCGAGUCGGCUCUCUCUUCCCCCAGGUGAGUGUCUCUCACUGACGGUGCCAUGCUCCUUGGAUAUCAGUCUGCAGCUCCCUCUGCUUUCCAAUGCGUUCUGAAGACCAGUGACUCCCCAGGAAUCCUCCAGGCCUUCAGCACAGGAUCGGGACUGCCGACAUGUGCGAAUUGAACUGCUACCAGGUCCUCGGCCUCUCCAGCUUGCCGUCAGCCAUGGUUGAACUACCAAGCCCUUAUCACCUUCCUACACAGGAAAUGUCUGCUCCUGCUUGCCCUUGGCAUUCCAGUGUGCCACAGAUCUACCAACUCAGAACAAGGGCAUCUAGCAAGUCAACCUGUGUCAUGAGUUACAGGUCCAUGAAAACCCGAGUUUUGUGGGGAAGAGGUGAAAAAGCACCCCAUAAGAAUAAGGGAGGCGUGGGAGACUGCUCUAAGUGCAGCAUGGCACAGAGCAUCCCACAUUUCUAGACCGGGCAGUGGCCUUCUCAACAACUUCACAAUCGCCAUCCCAGGAGAGAAUGCAGUUCACAACAGAAAUACUGAGUUAUCACAACAGAAGACCAGAUGAGGGGCUACACUGAUAACUGGCAAGGAUGAAGCUGGACCUCAGCGUAGACAUCUCCCUCAGGACAAUGUACCUGACCAAAUGACUGACGUUCAAGAAGGAUUCUGUUUGAAGACUUAACACUCAGUCCUUUAACUGUGUGUUGACGCUUGAAUCAAAUGACCACGUCCCGGAAUACGGACCCAGCCAUUCGCCCUCCCUCAGCUUUUCAACUGGCUCCUUUUCAAAAGCAUUUUGAUUUUUGCUUGGAAGAAAUUGUUGCUCCAAGUCCAAUUGUACAUAAUUUCUCCC